rnacentral:rRNA from 1 species
AUACGUAGGGGGCGAGCGUUGUCCGGAAUGAUUGGGCGUAAAGGGCGCGUAGGCGGCCCGGUAAGUCUGGAGUGAAAGUCCUGUUUUUGAGAUGGGAAUUGCUUUGGAUACUGUCGGGCUUGAGUGCAGGAGAGGUAAGUGGAAUUCCCAGUGUAGCGGUGAGAUGCGUAGAGAUUGGGAGGAACACCAGUGGCGAAGGCGACUUACUGGACUGUAACUGACGCUGAGGCGCGAAAGUGCGGGGAGCAAACAGGAUUAGAUACCCUGGUAGUCCACACUGUAAACGAUGAAUGCUAGGUGUAGGGGGUAUCGACCCCUUCUGUGCCGCAGUCAACACAAUAAGCAUUCCGCCUGGGGAGUACGGCCGCAAGGUUGAAACUCAAAUGAAUUGACGGGG